rnacentral:rRNA from 1 species
CAGGCCUGAGCACAUGCAAGUCGAACGAUGGUCUUCGGAUCAUAGUGGCGCACGGGUGCGUAACGCGUGGGAAUCUGCCCUUGGGUACGGGAUAACAGCGGGAAACUGCUGCUAAUACCGUAUGAUGUCGCGAGACCAAAGAUUUAUCGCCUGAGGAUGAGCCCGCGUUGGAUUAGGUAGUUGGUGGGGUAAAGGCCUACCAAGCCGACGAUCCAUAGCUGGUCUGAGAGGAUGAUCAGCCACACUGGGACUGAGACACGGCCCAGACUCCUACGGGAGGCAGCAGUGGGGAAUAUUGGACAAUGGGCGAAAGCCUGAUCCAGCAAUGCCGCGUGAGUGAUGAAGGCCUUAGGGUUGUAAAGCUCUUUUACCCGGGAAGAUAAUGACUGUACCGGGAGAAUAAGCCCCGGCUAACUCCGUGCCAGCAGCCGCGGUAAU